GUUAAUGUGCUCUCUAGUGGGGUUGUGCUCAUGAUACUGGCUAAGCCCAGGGGCUUAUAGGCCUGGGAAGCCCUGGAUGCUAAUGGGAGGACCCACUGCAUAAGUGUGAGGUGAGUUGUCCCCAGCUAUUAAUUGCUAAGCCCGGCUACUACGUGCCGAGGCAAGUUUCUCUCUUUGCAGGACUGAGGCCAGGCCGAGGACCAGAUUCCGGGACAUGGACCAGUACCUGACCAGCACCUGGGAGAGGAAGGACCAUCUACACAGGAGACGGAGGCACAUCACACCGAUGUGGCCAGUGGAUGAUGGCGUCAGGACUUGGAAAGCAUGACCUCCAGCCAUGGACUCAAAGCAGCAGCUGUGUCUACAGGCACUUUGGACUUCGGCGGGUUUCGUUCGCGUCUGACUUAAUGCCGCGUGGAUCCACAACGGGAUAUUGCUUGCAGUUUCAGAGGCUGCCGCAGAGAAAUUCAGCAGGGAUCACUGCUAAAGUCCUGCUUCACCUCUCCAGUUAGCUCCCAACUACAUCAGCAGCUCAGAGCAGGACUGAGAAGAAAACCCUCAACCCAUGUGCUGCAGGACAGAUGGAGGGGCAAAGAAACCAGUGGUCAUACUCCUGGUGGCUAAGAGGGGGAGCAACUCCGACCUGCGUCUGUAGUGUUAUUGUUGUUGUUAUUUUUGCUAUUAAUAAAAUACAAUCAUUUCUGUUAUCA